UGUGAACUGACGUUAGUUUUGACGUUUUGCUUUUGACUGUAAUUUGUAAAUAAAAUGAAAUUUAUAGAAAAUGUUUGUGUUUGGGAAAAUUUGGAAAAUAAUUUAGAAUUCUUAAAAUGACAUACUGUACCGUUCCAAAAUGUAGGGAAGUUGGAGUACAUAGAUUUCCAAAAAAUGAAAAAAUAUUAAAGCGUUGGUUACAGGCUUUAUGUCGUGAAAAAUCUUCGAUAACUGUUAACUCUAGGUUGUGUGGGAAACACUUCCUUGAAAGUGAUUAUGAAACAUACAGUAAAUACACAGGAUUUCCAAACCUACGUAAAGUAUUAAAGAAAGAAGCUGUACCAUCAAUUUUUCCAUGGUGUCCACAUCUAAUUUCUGACCAGCCAACAGAUAGAGAGCAGAGACCAAGACACAGUGACAUUAGGAAAAAACCGUGUCUUGAUUCAGAGAUUUCUAUCCAGUCUGUUGAUAGAUUACCAGGAGUAUCAGGAGUUAAACCAGAAUACAAUGUGUCACACAAUUUAGACGUUUCCCAAGAAAUUUUAAACCAUAGUGACAGUCCAGUAAAUGAAUCUGAUAUAAAAAAUAAAAGCACUCGUAGUGUUGGUACUCAAACACUCAGUAUAUUAAAAUUAUUCCCUACUGAUGUAUUAUUUUUUGACAGUGGUAAAUCCAAGAUUUUGGUUUGGGGGAGGCUUGAACCUCACGAGGUUUUAUCAAGAAAAAAGUGUAAAAAAGUACACUAAAUUUAAUUUUGCUUUUCACUCUUGAAUAAAUUUCUGUGAAUGCUACAUUGAUUUUGUAAGGAGGGGGGGGGGGGGGACAAAUAGCUUAGCAAUCCAUGGAUUAACUGAGCGGGUGCUGGGUCCAUCACAUGGCACAGUGGGUCCCCACCAAUUUUCAGUUAAAUCGGUACAGCCAUUCUUUAGCGGCGACUUCAUAACUUUCUUCUGAUACUUAAAUUUUUAAACUUUUGAUAACUUUUGAAUGGAAUGUCCGAAUUGAAUAAUUCAAAAAGCUAAAUAAAGAUAUUGAAUUUUUUUUCAAUAUCUAAAAAAAAACAGGCUUGAAUCUGAAGUAGUUUAUUUUGAUAAGAAAUCAAAUAACGAACCUUUUCUAACGACUGCAUUUCCAUUUUUUCUUUAAAUAUAAGAACACUUAUUGUGUCAUGACUUUAAUAGUUAGCAAUAUGCUGUCGCGACACUUUGAAGAAAAUGCAGUGCAUGUGAUGUAAAGAAUAUUAUAGGUAAAAUUUUUACACCUUGGAGUUUUAUUAAGGAUCCCUAAUAUUUUUGAAAAUAUAAUAUAGCCUAUAGCACUCAGGGAUAGUGUAGCUUGGUAAUAAUGAAAGAAUUUUUCAAAUUGGUUCAGUAGUUUCAAAGUCUAUUCAUUAUAUCUUUCCUCUCUCUCUCUUCAAAAAACGACAGACUUUUUUGUUGGUGAUUUUGGGUGCGAAACAGGUCCAUAGUCUAAAUAGUCAAAGGUACCAAUGAAUUUAUACUAAAAGGAGAAGUGAAUCUACAUACACAAAAAAGUUGUACAUUGCAGCGACACGAUUUCCGCAUACGGAAUAUUUUAGAACUAAUGUCAGCUGCAUUUUUAUAUGGAGACUUGCGAUUUAAAAAAAUGUAUUUUCGUCGAGAUACAAUAAAACACUUACUAACUUUUUGUCAUGUAUAUAAUCUACAUAAAUUCUGUGUCUUUUCUAAACUUUAGUUGAAUUAGGUAGGUAGUUGAAUAAUUACACUUUACAACUGUCAUGUCUUGCUACCUAGCUCAAUAAACGUUAUCUAAAUUAUAAAUCGUAUUAUUUAAACAUAAUAGUGGCGACGAGACGAAAAUUUAGUGAAAAUGGAUCAUAAAGCAGUGAAGUUUGGUGAAUUUAAUCCAAAAAUCGACAUAUGGGACAAUUACAUUGACCGGUUAAAGUUUUGUUUCGAGGCAAAUGGCAUCAUGUUGGAUGGCGCCAAACGAGCGAAUUUCUUUACUGUGUGUGGAGCGGAAGUUUUUGAGACGUUUUUGGCGUUAAUUACACCAAGAAAACCGAGUGAUGUGACAUUUGUUGAAAUAGAAACAAUCUUAACAAAACAUUAUAGUCCUAAACCAAAUGAAAUUUCCGUGUCAUACAAAUUCUAUACACGUAACCAAAAUACAAAUGAAACUGCGUCAGAUUACAUUGCACAAUUGCGAAAAAUUAGCUCCAAGUGUAAUUUUAUGGACCUAGAACGAAUGUUACGUGAUCGGCUCGUCUGUGGCAUGAAAGAUCGCGGCCUACAGUACGAUCUUUUGAAAAAAGAUAACCUACGUUAUCAAGAUGUUAUAGAUGCUAUGUUAGCCGCCGAAACUGCGGGAAAAGAUUGUCACAUGAUUCAAUCUUCUGUCAAUAUAGAAAGCAGUAACACAAGUACAAACAAUACAUCUAUAAGUUCACCAGUAGAAGCCAUGGAUGUAAAUGCUGUACAGCCCAGGGCUAGCUCGCGUUUAUGUUACCGGUGUGGUGAUUGUCAUGGUGGUGAAUGCAGAUUUAUUAACGCUGUUUGCCGAUUCUGUUCUAAAAAAGGACACAUUAAAAAAAUAUGCUUAGUAAAGAAAAAAUCUUUUAAGAAGAAUAUAAAUUUUACUGAGGAACCAGAUAUACGCUUGAAUGGAAUUUACAGCAUUCAAUCUGAGACUAAAAUACUGCCUUUUGUGGUCGAAUUGUUAUUGGAAGACAUCCCUGUGGUAUUGCAAGUAGAUACAGGAGCGAGUUUUUCAUUGGUAAAUGAAUACACUUGGAAGAAGAUAAAAUAUCAAAACAAACAGAUUACUCUUCGACCAGUGUCACUUACUCUACGCACGUGGACAAACACACCAGUGAUUUUACUUGGUCAAACAACACUUCAUGUUCAGUAUAGAAAUCUAAAAUGUAACCUAAAUGUAAUCAUAGCAAAAGGAUGUGGUCCUAAUCUUCUAGGACGGGACUGGUUGAACCCGCUGAACAUAACAUUGAACAUUAAUUGUAUAUCAAGCAGUGAUCUUGUAAACAUUGACAAGACUAUUUCAAAAUAUAGUGAAAUCUUUGAGGACGAGCUGGGUACAUUUACUGGUGACCCUGUUACAAUACAUCUUAAACAAAAUGCUACACCUAGAUUUCUGAAAGCUCGUCUAGUACCAUAUGCCAUCAAAGCUAGAGUAGAGCAAGAAAUUGACCGGCUAGUGGCAGAGGGGGUACUACAACCCUUAUCUUUUUCUGAGUGGGCAACACCUGUUGUGCCAAUAAUAAAGAAGUCAGGGGAUAUCCGGCUAUGUGGAGAUUACCGUAGUACUGUCAAUCAAGCUACUGAAUCGGAUACUUUUCCUAUGCCGACAGCCAAUGAGGUAUUUGCUACAGUGGCAGGUGCAAAGUUUUUUACAACAUUAGACCUCGAUCGAGCAUACACACAAGUAAAAGUUACUGAGAGUACAGCCAAAAUGUUAACUUUAAAUACAUGCAAGGGCCUAUAUUCAGUUCAUCGGUUACCGUUCGGAGUCAAAGCAUGCCCUGGAAUAUUUCAGAGACUUAUGACAGCAUUACUGGCAGGUAUCCAGGGUGUUUCAGUUUUAAUUGAUGAUAUCAUAGUGAGUGGUCCUACAAUACUGAUUAUGCAACAAAGACUUGACAAUGUUUUAAAACGUAUACAGAAAGCUGGAUUCCAUCUUAACAAGAAUAAAUGUAAAUUUGCUCAAGAAAAAGUAGAAUUUUUAGGUUUUGUGAUCAAUGGAGAUGGUAUACACCCAGCUCCAAGUAAAGUGGAAGCUAUUUUAAAAACACCAGAACCUAAGAAUGUACGGGAGUUGCAAGCAUUUUUAGGCUUGUAUAACUUUUAUGAAAGGUUUAUACCUCAUAAGGCAACAACAUUGGAGCCGUUACACAGACUACUAGAUAAAUCUCAAACUUGGAGAUGGACCCAAAGAGAACAGGAUGCAUUUAAUAAAGCAAAACAGUUGCUAACAUUUGAAACAACAUUGGUUCAUUAUGAUUUGAAUAAACAUGUAAUUCUAACAUGUGAUAGUUCAGAAUAUGGCGUUGGAGCAGUGCUAUCACAUGUUAUGGACGAGGGACAUGAACGGCCUAUUGCAAUGAGCUCUAGGACAUUAAAUGCACAUGAGCGAAGAUAUUCACAGUUAGAUAAAGAGGCUACUGCGAUUAUGUUUGGCAUUAAAAAAUUUCACAAUUAUAUAGCUGGCAGACAAUUUACAAUAGUGACCGAUCACAAGCCGUUACUAGGAAUAUUUGAUCCUAAAAGACCUAUGCCAUCCAUUUUAUCACCUCGGCUAACAAGAAUCGCUAUAGCAUUAACAGCACAUGAUUAUAGUAUUACAUAUCGACCUGGAAGUCAAAUUGUCAAUGCAGACAGUUUAAGUCGAUGGCCGCUACCAGUCCCAGAGCAAGAAGAUCAAUCUUUGUGUGAAGUAUUGCUAAUGGCAGAAAAGGUGGAAGAUUUUCCCUACACAGCUCAUGAGAUAGCUUCCGAAACUACAAAAGAUCAGACACUUUCACGAAUUGUACAUUUCUUAAGAUGUGGAUGGCCAGGCAAAGUUACUGAUAGGGAUCUACGAACAUAUUGGUUGCACAGAACAGAGUUGUCUUUACAAGAUGGAUGUAUAUUAUUAGGAUGCCGCGUUGUUAUACCACCAUCCCUUCGACAAACCGUCCUACGCAUGCUUCAUACUACUCAUAAUGGAAUUGUUCAUACCAAGGCAUUGGCUAGGAGUUAUGUGUGGUGGCCACAAUUGAGCGACGACAUAAGUCGACUAGUUCAAAAUUGCACUAAGUGUCUGGAAAAUAGACGUAUGCCUGAGAAAUCGUCUCAUGAAUGGAUUCUUCCAUCAAGACCAUGGUCCAGAAUACAUAUAGAUUUUGCAGGGCCAUACAUGAAUAAAACAUUUCUUAUAGUAGUCGACGCUUUUUCUAAAUGGCCUGAAGUUUUUAUUGUAAGUAGCACAAAUUCUAGAACAGUGAUUGGCCAUCUAAGAAAUUUGUUUGCUACUCAUGGUAUUUGUGAAACCUUGGUCUCAGAUAAUGGUACUUCCUUUGUAUCUCAAGAAAUGAAACUAUUUCUAGAAUCAAAUAAAAUAAGACAUGUGACGUCAGCACCUUACCAUCCUGCCACCAAUGGCUUGGCAGAGAGGAUGGUACAAACUGUAAAAGACAAACUACGCAAAAUACAUGGACCAUGGGAAGUUAAAAUUCCAAAUAUGUUAUUAGGCCUACGUGUUACACCAUGUUCUUCUACAAAUAAGAGUCCUUCAGAGCUUUUAAUGAAUAGACGCCUUCGUACUGUCAUGGAUACUUUGCAUCCAGAUAAUAUACAACAUAGAAAAAUAGAAAGUCAAGUAAUAAAAAAUGCACAGCAGAAAAACAGACAAAGUAAUAUAGGACAAAAUGUAAUGUAUAGAAAUUAUAUAAAAGGACCAAAAUAGUUACCUGGACAAAUCAAGGAAAAAGACGGUCCAUCCAGCUAUAAGGUACAAACAGGAGAAGGAACCGUCUUAAGACGACAUAUGGACCAGAUUAUUAAAGUAAAAGAGAGUGAGAACCUACCAUCAACAAGUGGAACAAGUGGUGGAAAUAAUGAAAUAAUUGAUGAUACAGAGACAGGGGAUGAUGAUAAAGCCAAUCAGGAAGAAGAAAAUCAGUAUGAAAUAGAAACAGACCCUAUAAUUGAAAUACCGAGUGCUGAGAAAUGGGAGGAGAUAUUAGGAAUACCUAAAUCAGCAGAGAUUGAUAUACCCGGAGGAAAAAUUAGAACAAAAAGAAAUGUUUAUCAUAAAGGUCCAUAUUAUAGGCCGAGUCGUUCUAAGGAAGAUGAUGGUUAAAUUUAUGUUUAUGCUAUGUAUAUCUUUUAAAUACUUUGCUAUUGUAUUUGGGAUUUAAAUUUGUUACUUACUUAUUAAUUAGUAGUUAAUUAGUAAUAUACUUGGGAGGAAGGUAUGUCAUGUAUAUAAUCUACAUAAAUUCUGUGUCUUUUCUAAACUUUAGUUGAAUUAGGUAGGUAGUUGAAUAAUUACACUUUACAACUGUCAUGUCUUGCUACCUAGCUCAAUAAACGUUAUCUAAAUUAUAAAUCGUAUUAUUUAAACAUAAUACUUUUAAAAUAGUUUAUCUAUUGUUGUCAGGGAUCGAAAACAGGAUUUACUUAAUUGUACCUUGGCUCUCAAAUAAAAUACUAAAGCAGUCCGAACUUAGCCUAAUGCCUAGUUCGGACUACUUUAGCAUUUUAGUCGAGUUCGAGUACGAACGAUUUUUGGGCGGUAAAUCGAAAAAAUUUUUCGUACUCAACUAAACUAAAGUAAUACUCAAAGUAGAGUACUGAUACUGAAACUGAGUAGGUACAUUGAAUAUUGCUUUGACAAUAUUGGUACAGAGCCGACUGAAUGUAAUACACGUACUUGUACCGAAUCGUAAGUUAAUGAUGUACACCCUGUUUACUAGUUUAUACGUGGUUUAUACCUUUGACAAGGACAACUAAUAAAAAUGAUCUGUGGUUUGGUGUUGAGUGUUUUUUCUUUCUUUAAAUCUUUGUUUUUGGACUUUUUGGUGGUGUUUACACUUUUGACUUUACUUCAUUUGACGUUUGUGCACUUUACUGUUUGUUUGGGAAAAAUUGGAAAAUAAUUAAGAAUUCUUAAAAUGACAUGCUGUUUCGUUCCAAAAUGUAAGGAAGUUGGAGUACAUCGAUUUCCAAAAAAUAAAAAAAUAUUAAAGCGUUGGUUAAAGGCUUUACGUCGUAACAAAUCUUCGAUAUCUUUAAGCUCUAGGUUAUGUGGGAAACACUUCCUUGAGAGUGAUUAUGAAAAAUACAGUGAAUGCACAGGAUUACCACGUCAACGUAAAGUAUUAAGGAGAGAUGCUGUACCAUCAAUUUUUCCAUGGCGUCCACAUCUAGUUUCUGACAAGCCAACAGAUAGGGAGAAGAGACUAAGAAUCCGUAACAUCAGGAAAAAACUGUGUCAUGAUGUAGAUGACCAGUCUGUUGAUAUAUUACCACAAGUACCAGGAGUUAAAACAGAGUACAAUGUGUUAUACGAUUUGGACGUUUCUCAAGAAAUUUUAAAUCUAAAUAGUGACAGUCUAAAUGAAUCUGAUAUAGAAAAUAAAAGCACUUGUACUGGCACUCAAACACCCAGUUUAUCAAAAUUAUUCUCUACUGAUUUAUUAAUUACUGACGGUGGUGCAACCAGGAUUUUGGUUUUGGGGAGGCUUGGGGCUUUACAAAGUUUUAUCAAGGAAAAACUGUAAAAAAACACACUAAUUUUGAUUGUACUUAUCACUAAAUGACUCUUCUUGAAUAACUUUCAAAUCAUGUAACAGGACAAAUUCUGUACAUUGAAGGUAUUUCGAAAACUCUAGUGAUUUAGUCUUAGUGAAACUCAAAAAAUAUUCUUUUGUAUUUUUUGUCUGUUUGACCAUAUUUUUGUUGAAUGGGCUGAAACUUGUUCAAAUGAAACUUGGCAAGAUUUGAGACAAUAGAAGAAGGUCAUAGGAUUAUGAGAGACUGACUAGAUUUUAGAGGUGAAGUAGAAAGGGCAGUUGAAAGUUAAAUACUAAAAUAUAUAGAUCAAUUAUGAAAAGAUGUUUUAUUUUAAGCCCAAUAAAUAUCUAAAAUAAAAUGAAAUGAAAUUUAUAUGGAUGUCUUUCCUAUUUCUACAUUUUCUUGAGACAUCACUUAUGGUUAUAAGCAGUAAAAAGCGUUAGCUUUUGGGGUGGCCGCUCACUGUCAAUUUUUAAUUGCUGACUAUCGAACAACUAAAUUGCAAAUCCAACUUUUCAGUUGUGUGCAUUUUAAGAAAUUAAAUAUCACGUGUCUCAAUCGGUGAAGGAAAACAUCGUGAGGAAACCUGCAUACCAGAGAAUUAUCUUCAUUCUCUGCGUGUGUGAAGUCUGCCAAUCCGCAUUGGGCCAGCGUGGUGGACUAUU